UUCCUUUAAAAAGCAAGAUGAACAUUUGAUAACCUAUAAAAGUGGGUCAUAUAAAAGCCAAAUAAACAUCUCCCUAGUUAAGAAUGUAAAUUGAUCAUCAUGUAAAAACUACAAGAUUAUCCCAAGAGAGAGUUUGGCUAUCCAACAUGAGCUUGUAGUUAUGGAUAUCUGUAUAAAGACGUGGAAGAGAGGGAAUAAAAGUAAUGGGUGUCCAAGAACUACGAGGUGAAAUUUAAAAAAUAAAAAAAUAGACUUAUAAAUUAGUUGAAGAAGGAAAAUGGAACUCUGAAUAUGAUGUCAAUGUAAUGGUUGAUUGUAUCAAGAAAGUGGCAAAAGAAGUUUUAAUAGAAUCUAGAUGGAAAAAAAUUAUGAGGUUCAGAAGACCAUUAGUAAAAAAUGAUCAUAUUAUAAACAUAGCAAUGUAAUAGAAAUGAUCAAAACUGAGAAUAAUAUAAAAAUGUUAAGAAAAAAGCUAAACAAACAGUAAAUAAAGUUAAACUUAAAGUAUAUGAUAAUCUAUACAAUAAACUGGGAACAAGAGAAUGUAAAAAAAGAGAUAUUUAAAUUAGCAAAAAUAAGAAAAAAAAAG
rnacentral:lncRNA from 1 species